rnacentral:rRNA from 1 species
GACGAACGCUGGCGGCGUGCUUAACACAUGCAAGUCGAACGGAAAGGCCCCUUCGGGGGUCCUCGAGUGGCGAACAGGUGAGUAACACGUGAGUAACCUGCCCUUGACUUCGGGAUAACUUCAGGAAACUGGGGCUAAUACCGGAUAGGAAUCCUUGCUGCAUGGUGGGGGUUGGAAAGCUUCGGCGGUUUUGGAUGGACUCGCGGCUUAUCAGCUUGUUGGUGGGGUAGUGGCUUACCAAGGCUUUGACGGGUAGCCGGCCUGAGAGGGCGACCGGCCACAUUGGGACUGAGAUACGGCCCAGACUCCUACGGGAGGAAGCAGUGGGGAAUAUUGCACAAUGGGCGGAAGCCUGAUGCAGCAACGCCGCGUGCGGGAGGACGGCCUUCGGGUUGUAAACCGCUUUCAGCAGGGGCGAAGCUUGUGGUGACGGUACCUGCAGAAGAAGCACCGGCUAACUACGUG